UGUAUUUAGUGAGUGCACUAAAAGGCUGCCUUGGCAUUAAAAAUACUUAAGUUGUGUACUGCAUUAAGUAGGUAAGAUUUUAUUAAAGUGAAACCUAAUAACUUAUUAAAAAAUUUAUCUUUGGAAGAGUUAAUUAGGUGAAGUAAAACAUUCUAGUAACCUGUAAUAUAAAUCAAACGAGAAAAUGUUAGUAGUGGUGAGCGAAUAUAUUGUAAGGCAAAAAAGCAAGUAAAAUGUAUGAAUUCCAAAGAAGGUUUUAGUCCUGUAGUACUUUUUAUUUGUUUUUUAAUAAAUGACGGAUUAUGUUAAAUUUGUUGUUAAUUUAGGAGAUCUACCUUCGUGCCUAAAGUUUUUAAUGAUCGAUAGUGAACAAGUACCGUAAGGGAAAGGUGAAAAAGGACUUUUUUAGAGUGAAAAGAACCUAAAAUUUAGUGCAUUAAAGCUGUUAGAGCUAAUUAAUUAGUUAUAGCGUACCUUUUGCAUAAUGGGCCAGUGAGUUUAUAAGGAAGGCAAGUUUAAACUUCGUGUAGACAAAGAUAAGUCAAGAUUGUUUGAAAUAGUAGCUAUAGUCUUUUUUAUAAAACCCGAAGCUAAGUGAUCUAACCAUGAGCAGGUUGAUAUUUUUAUGGCAACGUAAUUUGGAGGACCGAACCCGUAUUUGUGGAAAAAAAUUGGGAUGACUUGUGGUUAGGGGUGAAAGGCUAAUCAAACUUAGGGAUAGCUGGUUUUCUGCGAAAUAUAUUUUAGUAUAGCCUGCAAUAAAUCAAAAUUUGGGUAGAGCACUUUUAAAGUAAAGGGGGUCGUAGACCUUACUAAACUUUGAAAAACUUCGAAUAAAUUUUUGAUACUUUUUGUGGAGUCAGACUAUCGGUGCAAAGGUCGAUAGUCCAUUGGGAAACAGCCCAGUAUAUUUAAUAAGGCCUUUAAUAUUAGUUAAGUGUUAAGAUUGCAAAUAACAGAGACGAUCAUAAAGUAGGCUUAGAAGCAGUCAUUUUUUUGAGAAAGCGUAACAGCUCAUUGAUUUAGUUAUUUUGUAUCAAAAAUUUAGUGAGUCUAAAUUAAUAGCCGACUUAGUAUUAUAGUUAGCAGAACGUUUUAUAUAUUGAUAAAGGUUAUUUGUUAAAAUAACUUUAAAUAAUAAAAGUGAGGAUACUGGCAUUAGUAGCUAAAAAUAACGAAAUAACGUUAUCGCCGUAAAUCUAAGGUUUUCGAUUCAAUUUUUAAAAAAAUCGUAAUUUUAAUUUAAAAAUAUGCGGUCCCUAAGGCAAAUUACAAAAGUAUAAGCUAAUGGGAAGUUUAGUUUUAUAGUUACAAAAUUUUAAAUACAUUAAAUAAUAGUGAUUUCUUUGAUGUUAAAAAAUUUUCUGGAAACAGCUGAACAUGAAAUACCGUACCCUAAACCGACACAGGUAGAUUGGUAGAAUAUACUAAGGCGUUCAAGAUAAGUAUGUUGAAGGAACUCGGCAAAUUAGCUCUGUAACUUCGGAAAAAGGAGUAAUAAACAAUAAUUUUUGUUUAUUGUCAUUAAAGAAGGGGAAGCGACUGUUUAAUAAAAACACAUGUCUCUGCAAAUUUGAAAAAAGAUGUAUAGAGGCUGACACCUGCCCGGUGCUGCAAGGUGAUGUGCGUUUGCUAAGGCAAUCAAACUAAUCCCCAGUAAACGGCGGCUGUAACUCUGACGGUCCAAAGGUAGCGAAAUUCCUUGUCGGGUAAGUUCCGACCUGCAUGAAUGGUGUAACGACUUCUCCGCUGUCUCCAACAUAUGCUUGGUGAAUUUGAAAUACCCGUGAAGAUGCGGGUUAAUUACAGCUAGACGGAAAGACCCCGUGCACCUUUACUAUAGUUAUAAGUUGUAAAAUUAACAUUUUUGUGAAGAAUAGGUGGGAACGUAAGUGUCCAGUGAAAUACCACCCUUAAAUUUUGAUUUUACUUAAUUUUAUAAACAGCUUAUGAUAGGUAGUUUGACUGGGGCGGUCGCCUCCUAAAAAGUAACGGAGGCGUACAAAGGUAGAUUCGAAUAUAUUUUAUUUGGGAGCAUAAUGGCAUAUCUAUUUGACUGAAAGAUUAACAAAUCAAACAGGGAUGUAAGUCGGUCAUAGUGAUCUGGUGAUUCUGUGUGGAAAGGUCAUCACUCAACGAAUAAAAGGUACGCCGGGGAUAACAGGCUAAUGAUUUUUGAGAGUUCCUAUCGACGAUAUCGUUUGGCACCUCGAUGUCGGCUCAUCACAUCCUGGAGCUGUAAAUGGUUCCAAGGGUUCGGCUGUUCGCCGAUUAAAGUGGUACGUGAGCUGGGUUUAGAACGUCGUGAGACAGUUCGGUCCCUAUCUACUGUAAUUGUUAAAAAUUGAGAGGAUUAAAUUUUAGUACGAGAGGACCAAAUUACGUAAAACCUCUGGUGUAUCAGUUGUUUAAUCAAAAGCAAUGCUGAGUAGCUACGUUUAUAAAAAAUAAUUACUGAAUGCAUAUAAGUAAGAAGUUUACCUCAAAAUAAUUUUUUAAGGUCGUAAUAGAAUAUUUACGUUGAUAGGCUUAUAAUGUAACAACUGUGAAGUUGAAGUUAAGAAGUACUAAUAAACCUUUUAAACAAAU
rnacentral:rRNA from 1 species